CAGUCGCCGCGGGAAUACGUAGGGUGCAAGCGUUAAUCGGAAUUACUGGGCGUAAAGCGUGCGCAGGCGGUUAUAUAAGUCAGAUGUGAAAUCCCCGGGCUCAACCUGGGAACUGCGUUUGAGACUGUAUGGCUAGAGUGUGUCAGAGGGGGGUAGAAUUCCACGUGUAGCAGUGAAAUGCGUAGAUAUGUGGAGGAAUACCGAUGGCGAAGGCAGCCCCCUGGGAUAACACUGACGCUCAUGCACGAAAGCGUGGGGAGCAAACAGGAUUAGAUACCCGAGUAGUCCCUGUCUCUUAUAC
rnacentral:rRNA from 1 species